AAUCUUACGCUUUGCUUUGUGUGGAUAAUUCAACGUAGUUCGGAAUAACUGGGCGAAGUGAACGAUUCACCUUGUGCUAUGCAUUCAUUGAUACGAACCAUCAUAAUGAUCAAUCUUGAGUCAUAAAGAAAUUGUCCAAUGAAUGCAUAUAGCAAAUGUGCACAUUUGAAUAUCUGUUUUACCUAAACGAACUGCAUAUAAUGAAUGAUGCGGCGUUUUAACACCUUACACAUGUUGAUAUUCCAAUAUCAAGACUGAUAUGCCGUUCUAUGACUUUAUCACACUUUGCAUACAGCGAUAUGACAUUAUUUCACCUUGCAUAAUAUGGAAUGGCAUUAUAUCAUGCCUAGCAUAUCACGAUAUGACAUAACCUCGCCUUGUGUAAAAUGAUAUGACAUUAUACAUGUUAUAUCACCUUUCAUACAAUGCUAUGGUAUGAUCUCGCCUUUCAUACAAUGAUAUGAUAUUAUCUCGCCUUG
rnacentral:lncRNA from 1 species